UGGUCAGAGGCAGAUACAAAGGCUUGGUACUUCUUGCCAGUUUUGAGAUAUCACAGGGUGUGGGUACUACUACCACGACAUGUCACUACUAGUAUGAGUUAAUGCCUAAAUAACUCCGCGCAGUCUGGUGGUGGAAGUGAAGGAUAUCUAGCUUAGGUUUGGUUAAGUGGUUAUGUGCUCCCUUAAAGAAGAAGUUAUAGGGCGGCAGUAGCUAUAAUAGGAGAUGCUGUAAAUAUUUUUGAGGCACCUGAGUGGAAGUGCCGAGUAGAACUGGUGUCUUUUUUUUUUCUUUCUUUUUUCUGUUUGAUGUCUUCAUUUUUUUCCUUUUCAGUUUGUCACGACGACUUGUUAGAUAAAUAAUUUGUAGAA
rnacentral:misc_RNA from 1 species